CCUUCAAGAGUGAUUGAUAUAUAGAUCAAUAGUAUAGUCCUGGAGGUAUACUAACGAGUAGCUGAGCCAUGGAUCAUCGGUAGGAGAGCAAACAGUACGUAGAACAGACAUGCCUCCAUUGUGGUAUAUACGAGUAUAUAUUAUUAAAAGUGAAAUGCUUUAUUGUCCAGCACGAUACGGAAACAGCGGACGAUUCGGUCGAAUGGAGGCAAUAACUUUUAUGGUAUAUUUCGAGGCAUGAUAAUCCUUACCUUACUCUUAUAAAAGGUAUGAAAGGCCACUGAGCGUGCAACAAUACAAACAAAAAUAAAUAAAAAUACGCUUGAGUUGA